rnacentral:rRNA from 1 species
AGUGAACGCUGGCGGUAGGCCUAACACAUGCAAGUCGAACGGCAGCGCAAUAAGAGCUUGCUCUUACGGGUGGCGAGUGGCGGACGGGUGAGGAAUACAUCGGAAUCUACUUUUUCGUGGGGGAUAACGUAGGGAAACUUACGCUAAUACCGCAUACGACCUACGGGUGAAAGCAGGGGAUCUUCGGACCUUGCGCGAUUGAAUGAGCCGAUGUCGGAUUAGCUAGUUGGCGGGGUAAAGGCCCACCAAGGCGACGAUCCGUAGCUGGUCUGAGAGGAUGAUCAGCCACACUGGAACUGAGACACGGUCCAGACUCCUACGGGAGGCAGCAGUGGGGAAUAUUGGACAAUGGGCGCAAGCCUGAUCCAGCCAUACCGCGUGGGUGAAGAAGGCCUUCGGGUUGUAAAGCCCUUUUGUUGGGAAAGAAAAGCAGCAGGUUAAUACCCCGCUGUUCUGACGGUACCCAAAGAAUAAGCACCGGCUAACUUCGUG